UCAUUUAUAGCCAUCAAAACUCCCCCCUCUCUCUUCUCCAGCCGGUGGUAGCAGCUCCAACAGUCCGUCAUUCUUAGCCCCAGCAGCCCGUCCAGUGAUGGGUGGUGCUGACCUCUCUGUUGUUGCUAAAAAAGGUCUUUCCAUAUAAGAGGAAUGCAGUGAGGUUGAGGAAGGGGAAGCGGAAUCCAAGGACAUUGACAAGGUAUUUAGAAACACGGGAAGAAGCUAGGAUGCAAUGUCCUGAGUCGUGGAACUUGCAGAUGUAAGGCUUGCUCAGCAAUUCUAUGCAGGGACAUUGAAUGCAAGGACUUGUCCAAGGAGAAAAGUAAAGUCGACAAGGUUUUAUAUUUCAUUAUUUGAUCUGGAUGCUUCUUCCUGUACUGAAACAAAUAAAUCAAGAUCAGAGUAUUGGGAUAGAAAGAAAAAAAAAAGAAAAAAAAAGGUAGUCAUCUGCCUGUUCAUAAUUCAUUUUCAUAGGAUCACUAGGAAUACUAAUGACUUACUGCAAUCAUUGCAAAGAUGGUACACUUUUUUUCUUUUGCAUAUCAUGACUCUUAAUGCAAGAUAGCUUUGCAAUAUUAAUGUAUUAGCAUGUAUUAGUUGUAGCUUCCACAUCACUUGUUGAACUGUGCUUGCUCCUCUAUCUACACGUUAAUGAUUUUGAACUC